GUAACAACCCUCCGUCCCCAGGCCAGACCUCCCCAAAGCGCGCGCGGGCCUCCCGAAGGAGCCGGGGGUGGGGUCCCUGGGCACCCCGCGCUCUCACCGCCUCUCCCCGGUUCUGCCUCCUUCUCUGGCUCUCGCUUCAGCACCGCCGCCUCCUGGGCUCCCCCCGGAGUGGGAGGGAGCCGCGGUCCCGCCUCCGCGCCCUUUCCCUCCCAGGCCGCGCGGCGGGGCGCUGGGCUCUCUGCGCGCGGACAGACUACCCAGCCGACCGACGGACGCGUGAGCCGGCGGCCGGACGCCGGGAUCCCGCGGAAAGGCUCUGGCUUUCUGCAGAUUCUUCUCAAGGGAGGCUGUGACCCAAAAGAUUUGGAGCUGAUGCUGAACAACCUUAUGUUACAGGAGGGGGUCUGGGGACCUCAAAGUGGAGAAGAAGCUGGUUCAAGGUCACCUAGAAAUUUAGCAGCAAGUUGGAAAGAAGAACUCAAGACUCCAGACUGUACAACGCUAUUUAAUGUCUGACUAAAGGUCACCUCCUCCGGGAAGCCUUCCCUGAACUCAUCCCAUCUUCUGCGUUACAUCGCAUAUACUUCGACUGCUGCUAAGUCACUUCAGUCAUGUCCAACUCUAUGCUACCCCAUAGACAGCAGCCCACCAGGCUCCCCUGUCUCUGAGAUUCUCCAGGCAAGAACACUGGAGUGGGUUGUCAUUUCCUUCUCCAGCGCAUGAAAGUGGAAAGUGAAAGUGAAGUCGCUCAGUUGUGUCUGACUCUUAGCGACCCCAUGGACUGCAGCCCACCAGGCUCCUCCAUCCAUGGGAUUUUCCAGCCAUGAUACUAGCUGAGGUCAUCGGUGCAAUGAGAUGAAAGAAGAUGAUCCUGUCACUUUUCUAGAUCUUUGAGUGAUACGUCAAAUUCAAGGCUAAUCACACUUACUUGACCUGUGUGUGAGUUUCCCAAUGAUGUUCUUGCUCUGCGAUCAUCAAUGAUUUCCAGUUCGCCGAUGCAGCCACGCUUCAUCAUCACAAUAGCAACCAUGUAACCCUUUCAAGGAAAGUCUUCCACUACAAAACAAACAGCAGUUAAAAGCCAGGUGAUGACUUUGGCGCAUGGCCUAAAUGAACUUUAGUUUGUCUUUCUUCUCAGCAUUUUCAAAGUUCCUAAGGACGUUCAUGUGCACUAUUGUAGCAGCAUGGAAAGAUGGCAGAAAGAAACGGCUUAUUUUUUGUUCUCAUAUCCAUCUAUCCAUCCAUUCAUUCAUCUACUCAUUUAUGUGUUCAGCUGGAUAAGUACUCUCCCUUUCUCUACCUACCAUCCCUCCAUCCAUCUAUCCACUCAUUUGUGUGUCCAAAAUAUACUGAGCCCAGCCCUUAAGCCAGGCACUAGGCUAUACAGGGAGACACCAGACAUAACCCAAACAACAUGAUUCUGGCUCUUCUAUUUCUCAGUCUAGCGGCACUGUGAGCUGUGAAUCAAAGAAUCACUUUAAGUAUGAUUACAAAACUUUGUGAGAGCUAUGAAAAAGUUCAGGAUAUCAUGAGGGCCUCUAACAGGGGUCCAACAAGGUCUAGGGAAUCAGGGAGGGCUUCUCAGAGGAGGUGACAUUUCAGCUACUCCCCAAAGGAUCCACAGCGGUAAUGUGGAUAAGCCAGUGGGAGGAGCAGGGAUGUGCAAAGGCCCAGAGGUGGGAAAGAGUUUGGUGUGUUAAAGCAGCAGAGAGAGGAAACUGGAGUGACCACUGAG
ensembl:lncRNA